AAGUGGAGGCUCGGGGGAGGAAAAAGAAAGCCCACAGUGUUGAAAGGGGCGGUACGGACUGACCUGUCAACGGCGGAGGAGGAAGACCCCCGUUCGGGGCGAGCUCUCGAGCCCGCGCAGGGAUCGGAGCUCUGGGCUCGCGCGGAAAGGCGCGGCGGCAGCUGUGCCUCAGCCAGGUGUCCCCCCUCGGCUGGGCCCGCGCCGCGGCGCCCGCCCCCUCCCCCGGCGCCGCGCUCCCCGCCCCAUCGCCGGGGACCAGGGAACCCCCCGGCUCGAUUUUUUGUGCAGUUUCAGCAAAGCUCCGAGGAAGUUGGUCCUUUUGUUCCACUAUUUAUAGAUUGCGUCAACAUUGCGAAAAGGAGAAGGCGGAGCGGUGGCCCCUCCCCCUCCCCUCCCCCCGCCGGCUCCUGGGAGAGAAAAGCCCCAGCACACGACCUAAGUACACAGCGCGCCAGCCGCCCGCCCGCGGCCUUCUGCUCCCCGCUUCUUCCCCCUCCCAGCCGGGGCCCGAACGCUGCCAACCCCGUCACGUGCCCGCCCGGGAAAACCAGCUCCCCGGGGCUCCGCGCCGCCCGCCAGGCUUCGUGGCGGCGGCGGCGGCAGCGGCCUCACCCAGGUCGUGGGCUCAGGCCACGGCUCAGGCGUCACGCACAGCGUGGGCACCCACGCCCUUGCCACCCGGCGAGGAUCUCGGGCUCCGCGACUUGUGGGAGUGCUGCGAAGCGUCCCGAACUUCCGCCCCCUCUCCCCUCCGGCUCCCCAAUCGCCGCCUGGCUCGCUGAGUGUGCGCGCAUUCGGGCCUCGCCUCGGUGCCGGGAGCCUGACCUGUCCCCAGGCCCCUCGCGCGCCGCUCUUCCAGACAUUGUGGUGCUAGUUCCCGCUCACGCGCAGGACUGGGGAGGGCAGAGGUGCAGCGAGGCUUUGCGCGAGCUCGAGUCCCCCUUCCCGGACAGCUAGGGAGCCGGGAGUUUGCAGACCGGAGCUACAGUUUGAGGAAUAUAGUUUUUGAGAAGUUACUGGAAGUUAGAUGUGAGACAAAAACAGACGAACUAUUCUUCAAAACCUUAUGACGAAAUGAGAGGCCUUGCCAUACCCUUGAAAUGAAACUGAGCUCUCUACCGGCCUUAAAGCCUCUGUUCCUGAGCUUGAUGUAAACAAGGAGGGCGGUAAACACCAGAGGAAGGCCUUACAAUAAAACCAAGUGCAAGUAGCUCA
rnacentral:lncRNA from 1 species